UUUUUCUCUUUUCUUUUUUAGGCUUCCAGUGGAUGUGUGAUAGUACCAAACAGUGAAUUAAUUUGCAUUUUCUUGAUUAUUAUGUAAACUUUGUCAUCGUGUUUAAGAAAUAUUUUCCUAUUCUAAGACUGCUGAGGAUAAUAUCACCUCACCUUUGGAUGUGUCUCUCCUGUGAAGUGUCCUGGCAAAUCUAUGUCUUCUCCUGCCUCCUUCAGUAUUUAACAACCCCACAGCACCACACAACCAAGGUCAGUCUUGGUACCAAAAAUCUUCAAUGGAUCUUUUCACUCAAUAAAUUAAUUAUUCUCAAGAUUGAAAGAGAAAGGAGACCAUUUUCCUUAGGGGUCUCAAAUUUCUUUCACAUCUUGUGUCAGAUACUGUUCUGGACUACCUUGCAAGGGUUUUUGAAUAACUGCUUUCGAAGAUGGCAAUUGUGUCUGUCACAGGGGAAAGGACAGAUUAAUUAGCUGACAAAUAUAAUAAAGAUAAUGCCUUCCUCAGAAGCAAAGGUUGGGCAUUUGUACUUAUAACCAACAUUAAAAGCUUGAGGUUUGUUAACCUUAGUGUUCUCCAGAUGUGACACCAGCCUAGUUUGUGUGCAGAAUCUUCCUUGAUCUCUUUGCGUGGCCCCCUUUGACCUUGUGGGUGCAAUAGAGAGGUGAACACAAAGCUGUUGAUGUCUUUUGGGCAACGAUGAACAAUGUCUUGUUUAAAUUCCAGGAGUCUCCUAACCUGUCCUCCCAUUCAUGAAACUGGCAGACUAACUUAUUGGUCUGCAAUGGGGUAAAAUAUUGUACACUUUGGGGCUGGCCCCGUGGCCAAGUGGUUAAGUUCGCGCACUCCACUGCAGGUUGCCCAGUG